rnacentral:rRNA from 1 species
UACGUAGGUGGCAAGCGUUGUCCGGAUCUACUGGGCGUAAAGAGCGCGCAGGCGGUCGUUCAAGUCGGGUGUGAAAGCCCCCGGCUCAACUGGGGAGGGUCACUCGAUACUGAUCGACUCGAAGGCAGAAGAGGGAAGCGGAAUUCCCGGUGUAGUGGUGAAAUGCGUAGAUAUCGGGAGGAACACCAGUGGCGAAGGCGGCUUUCUGGUCUGCUCUUGACGCUGAGGCGCGAAAGCUAGGGUAGCAAGCGGG